GGGGAAUUUUCCGCAAUGGGCGAAAGCCUGACGGAGCAAGACCGCGUGGGGGAUGAAGGUUUGUGGAUUGUAAACCCCUUUUGAUUGGGAAGAAUACUGACGGUACCAAUCGAAUAAGCCUCGGCUAACUCCGUGCCAGCAGCCGCGGUAAUANCGGAGGAGGCAAGCGUUAUCCGGAAUUAUUGGGCGUAAAGCGUCCGUAGGUGGUUUAGUAAGUCUGCUGUUAAAGCGCGGGGCUUAACUCCGUAUCGGCAGUGGAAACUACUAGACUAGAGUGUGGUAGGGGUAGAGGGAAUUCCCAGUGUAGCGGUGAAAUGCGUAGAUAUUGGGAAGAACACCGGUGGCGAAAGCGCUCUACUGGGCCAUAACUGACACUGAUGGACGAAAGCUAGGGGAGCGAAAGGGAUUAGAUACCCCUGUAGUC
rnacentral:rRNA from 1 species